rnacentral:rRNA from 1 species
GACGAACGCUGGCGGCGUGCUUAACACAUGCAAGUCGAACGGAAAGGCCCUGCUUUUGUGGGGUGCUCGAGUGGCGAACGGGUGAGUAACACGUGAGUAAACUGCCCUUGACUUUGGGAUAACUUCAGGAAACUGGGGCUAAUACCGGAUAGGAGCUCCUGCUGCAUGGUGGGGGUUGGAAAGUUUCGGCGGUUGGGGCUGGACUCGCGGCUUAUCAGCUUGUUGGUGGGGUAGUGGCUGACCAAGGCUUUGACGGGUAGCCGGCCUGAGAGGGUGACCGGCCACAUUGGGACUGCGAGACGGACCAGACGCCUACGGGAGGCAGCAGUGGGGAAUAUUGCACAAUGGGCGGAAGCCUGAUGCAACAACGCCGCGUGCGGGAUGACGGCCUUCGGGGUGUAAACCGCUUUCGACUGUGACGAAGCGUGAGUGACGGUAAUGGGUAAAGAAGCACCGGCUAACUACGUG